rnacentral:rRNA from 1 species
AUUGAACGCUAGCGGCAUGCCUUACACAUGCAAGUCGAACGGCAGCACGGGGGCAACCCUGGUGGCGAGUGGCGAACGGGUGAGUAAUGCAUCGGGAACGUGCCCAUCGAUGGGGGAUAACUGCGCGAAAGCGUUGCUAAUACCGCAUACGACCUACGGGUGAAAGCAGGGGACCGCAAGGCCUUGCGUCGAUGGAGCGGCCGAUGCCGGAUUAGCUAGUUGGUGAGGUAAAGGCUCACCAAGGCGACGAUCCCGUAGCUGGUCUGAGAGGACGACCAGCCACACUGGGACUGAGACACGGCCCAGACUCCUACGGGAGGCAGCAGUGGGGAAUCUUGGACAAUGGGCGAAAGCCUGAUCCAGCAAUGCCGCGUGUGGGAAGAAGGCCUUCGGGUUGUAAACCACUUUUGGCGGGAAAGAAAUGGUCUGUGCUAAUACCACGGAUUGAUGACGGUACCCGCAGAAUAAGCACCGGCUAACUACGUG